rnacentral:tRNA from 4 species
GCAGGUGUGGCGGAAUGGCAGACGCACUAGACUUAGGAUCUAGCGCUUUACGGCGUGGGGGUUCAAGUCCCUUCACCUGCACCA